rnacentral:tRNA from 1 species
GCCCGGGUAACUCAACUGGUAGAGAUUGAGCACUUACCGUCCCUUCUUAGGCUCAUGGGUGCAGGUUCGAAUCCUGCGCUGGGCG